GCGCCGGCGUGGCCGUGGAUGGUGGCCAACACCUGCGCCCUGCGCUCCUGCACGCUGACGGCCGCCCUGGACAGGGUCCUGCGGGGCUCCCGGGCCGCGCCGUUGGUGACGAUGAUGUUGCUGGGGAAGCGGGGUGCAGGCCCUGGAAGACAAGGGAGGAGCCUGUGAGCCACCGGCCCACGUGAAAGUAAAUGCAUGAAGUUCCCUCUCGCUGAACUGAAAAGAGCCUCAACCUGGACCUGACACCAACUUCGCCGGUGCUGCCUGUGAGUCAACUCCUCUCUCCCUGUUCCCGGGACUAGUAGGGCUGGUUGCUCUAGCGCCCUGAAGGAGAGGAAUGCAGUCAUAUUUCACUGUGAUUUUCAGUGUCAUUUCCACGAAGACUAAUGAUGUUGAGCUUUUUUUUCUCCAUAAUACAGGAAAGAGACCCAAACCCAUGAAGAAUGAGAUACGUGUACAGUUUUGAUUAUAAAAACAAAGAAUAAUGGCUUCACAAGAUGACGGCUGGGCUCCUGGGCUGCCUUCAGUGUCUUUAAACAGAGGAAGCUUCGGGAUGUGUGAAGGCAGACCCGACUUCAGGACCUCAUUCAGAGCGAGAGCCUGGGAACGCUGGUGUGAGGCAGCACCGUGCCCUCACCGUGCACACAGGGGGUUUUGUGAGAUGAGAGAUAGAGUCUUGCUAUGUUGUCCAGGCUGGCACUGAACUCUUGGGCUCCAACGAUCCUCCUGCCCCGGCCUCCUGAGUAGCUGGGAUUACAGGCACAAGUCACCAUGCCCAGCCGGAAUAAUCUGAAGGAAAGAUGGGUAUAUUCAAGAUGACUUUGCUGCUGGAAAUAUGACAGAAUAAUGUGGUAUCUUCCUCUGCACUUCCAAGCUCUUUCACACUCAGGCUCUUCCUGGCUUUUCUGCCUCAGACACCAUAAACUGUGGUUGCUUCUCCAGCUCUGUUACAGUUCAGACUCGAGGGGAGGUGACAAGAGCUAACAUGUUACCAUGGGGAGCCUGGCUGACAUCUCCGAAACUGAAGACUCUAUGGAAGCCUCAUGCUGUUGCAAUGUGUACAUCAAAAGUAAAGUACCCCAGGUUAAAACUAUGAGGAAGUUCCCAUCUUUACUUCCAGGAGCAAAGACACUGAAACUGUUCCCUGUAAGCCCCUUAAUUUCAUACAGUCCUCUGACCGCCCCCCCAACCCUGGCUACUUUUUUUUGAAAUAAGGUCUCACUCUGUCAUCCAGGCUGGAGUGCAGUGGCAAAAUCACAAUACCCUGCAGCCUUGACCUCAUGGGCUCAAGCAGUCCUCCCACCUCAGCCUCCUGGGUAGCUGGGACUACAGGCGUGCACUACCACACCCAGCUUAUUUUUUGUAGAGACAGAGUUUCAUCAUGUUGCCCAGGCUGGUCUCAGGAGUCACUCCUGAGCUCAAGUGAUCCGCCUGCCUUGGCCUCCCAAAGUGCUAGGAUUACAGGCGUGAGCCACCAUGUCUGGUCCUCUGACCCUUUUAGCAGGAAGUCCAGCCUAGCCCCUGAACGGCAUGUUAGACAGUUCAACAAAGCCUUCUAGAAGACCAAACAAGACUCACAGGAAUAAGCCUCUUGCUGAUUAAUGGAAACAUGACCAUUUGUGGAGAAAGUGCAAUCUGCAUUGAACACUUAGGGGAACCUGUCAUUUAAGACUUCAAGCAUUACCAUGAAAACUUCCUCUGAGAAACCUUACAGACAUCUCUGUAAAACAGAUUUAAAAAGAAACACAUUUCUGCUCAAUCAGUACACAUCAAAUGGCGAUUUAAGAGCAAGGCUAGGAAACCAGAAGAUGAUAUCCAUAUCAUACAUAAAGUUGCCACUAUUCCAAAUAGUAAAAUAAAGACAAAGUCAAUGAUCUUAGGAGAGCUCGUGGGUUGUGGAGCCAGGAGAGAAAGGCAGCUCCCUUCAUCUUCCCUGUACAUUCCAGGAGGCCCUAGAAUGACCUAGAUGGUGUUACGCACAAAGCCCUCCUUUUCCCAUCCCGCCAUCAUCUCAGGAGCAAAUGGCCACACUCGGGUAUAUGGAGCAGCUCAAGCAACCAGAUCUUCCCGCCAUUCCCCUGAAAGGGCUGGUUUUGCCAAACGCCAGAGCCACAUUGUGUUAAUCAGCGCCCGUCCCUAGACACAGGGGCUUGCAGCCUCGUCACACAAAUGAGCCAUGGAGAUGUUUCCGACUCCUCCCCUCCCUGCCACUCACAAGCAGCCAGCUGCCGAGCCCUGCAGACUCUUCCUUUACGACGUCAGUUGUAUCCACUUCCCUUCUGGUCCCACACCCAAGUUCAGGACCAUUUUAGCACGUGCCUACAUUAUUGCCACA